GUGUUCUAUGGCUUUCAUCCUAUGUGAAUGUUAUCGCACAUGUUCACAUUGGUGGAAGUCAAAGAAGACGUGUGUGGAAACU
rnacentral:pre_miRNA from 2 species